GAUGAACGCUGGCGGCGUGCCUAAUACAUGCAAGUCGAGCGAACGGACGAGAAGCUUGCUUCUCUGAUGUUAGCGGCGGACGGGUGAGUAACACGUGGAUAACCUACCUAUAAGACUGGGAUAACUUCGGGAAACCGGAGCUAAUACCGGAUAAUAUUUUGAACCGCAUGGUUCAAAAGUGAAAGACGGUCUUGCUGUCACUUAUAGAUGGAUCCGCGCUGCAUUAGCUAGUUGGUAAGGUAACGGCUUACCAAGGCAACGAUGCAUAGCCGACCUGAGAGGGUGAUCGGCCACACUGGAACUGAGACACGGUCCAGACUCCUACGGGGGGCAGCAGUAGGGAAUCUUCCGCAAUGGGCGAAAGCCUGACGGAGCAACGCCGCGUGAGUGAUGAAGGUCUUCGGAUCGUAAAACUCUGUUAUUAGGGAAGAACAUAUGUGUAAGUAACUGUGCACAUCUUGACGGUACCUAAUCAAAAAGCCACGGCUAACUACGUG
rnacentral:rRNA from 1 species